CAGUAGCCGCGGUAAUACGUAGGUGGCAAGCGUUGUCCGGAAUUAUUGGGCGUAAAGGGCUCGCAGGCGGUUUCUUAAGUCUGAUGUGAAAGCCCCCGGCUCAACCAGGGAGGAUCAUUGGAAACUGGGAAACUUGAGUGCAGAAGAGGAGAGUGGAAUUCCACGUGUAGCGGUGAAAUGCGCAGAGAUGUGGAGGAGCACCAGUGGCGAAGGCGACUCUCUGGUCUGUAACUGACGCUGAGGAGCGAAAGCGUGGGGAGCAAUCAGGAUUAGAUACCCCAGUAGUCCCUGUCUCUUAUAC
rnacentral:rRNA from 1 species